rnacentral:lncRNA from 10 species
AUGGAUUCUGCCAAUAACCUGAAUGAACGUGAAGUGGAUUCUUCUCCAGAACUUCCAGGAUUCUUUUUUGUGCAAGACUCAAGAACCCUCUUUUGGGAUCCAGAAUGGGACCCCUAUAUCCAGCAACAAUACCAAACCUGGGACAAAUAUAAAAAACCAAUGGGACAUGCCUCUGGUCUCAAGUGGCCUACAGCCCAGUGGGAGGAGUGACAGACAUUUAAACAGAUUUUCUGUAACAGAGAAGGCCAGACAUUCCACAUCAAAUGACUGCUAUAAAGCUCACAGUUCUUGAGAAUCUAAG